GAUCUUUGUCGCUGCAUUAUUGCACCACAUGUGUUUUUCUUUGAAACAAACUUGCUUUGGCGGUGGGCCCAGCCUGCCGCCAGAGGUCUAAACUUACAACCAAUUUUUUAUUAACUUGUCACACCAGAUUAUUACUAAAUAGUCAAAACUUUCAACAACGGAUCUCUUGGUUCUCGCAUCGAUGAAGAACGCAGCGAAAUGCGAUACGUAAUAUGAAUUGCAGAUAUUCGUGAAUCAUCGAAUCUUUGAACGCACAUUGCGCCCUCUGGUAUUCCGGAGGGCAUGCCUGUUUGAGCGUCGUUUCUCCCUCAAACCGCUGGGUUUGGUGUUGAGCAAUACGACUUGGGUUUGCUUGAAAGACGGUAGUGGUAAGGCGGGAUCGCUUUGACAAUGGCUUAGGUCUAACCAAAAACAUUGCUUGCGGCGGUAACGUCCACCACGUAUAUCUUCAAACUUUGACCUCAAAUCAGGUAGGACUACCCGCUGAACUUAAGCAUAUCAAAAGUGGGGAAAGGAAA
rnacentral:rRNA from 1 species